rnacentral:rRNA from 1 species
CUAAUACGUAUCAACUGUGACGUUACUCGCAGAAGAAGCACCGGCUAACUCCGUGCCAGCAGCCGCGGUAAUACGGAGGGUGCAAGCGUUAAUCGGAAUUACUGGGCGUAAAGCGCACGCAGGCGGUUGGAUAAGUUAGAUGUGAAAGCCCCGGGCUCAACCUGGGAAUUGCAUUUAAAACUGUCCAGCUAGAGUCUUGUAGAGGGGGGUAGAAUUCCAGGUGUAGCGGUGAAAUGCGUAGAGAUCUGGAGGAAUACCGGUGGCGAAGGCGGCCCCCUGGACAAAGACUGACGCUCAGGU